AUCAUGGCAUCCCAUCUUCACGAUUCGUUCUACCUUCGUAAGGGAUUGGUUCUGACUUUUUUUUCAAGGCCUUGGAAGUGCUUGAAUUCUUCUCUACUGAUAAGAGUCAGCAGUUAAUUUAAAGAAAUAAAGAAACAUUUUUUGAUAUUUCGUUGAAUGUAAGAAAACAUCUUGUUUACAAACGAAAUCGCUGUCUUUCUGAAACGAGAAUCCAAAAUUGUGAACUCAAGCUCUUAUCACAGGGAAAUUACUGUGUUUUUGAAAAAAUUCGGAAAAAAAGUGAAUUGUUGUUCCAGUCAUAAGCCAGUUAAGACUCUGAAGAUCUCAAAAUUGAGGUUUUAACACUACUCUCAGAAAAGUGUUUUUUAAAAAUUCUCGCUGCCAUUAAUGCUCUUAGAUUUUAAACUAAACUUUUUAAUUCAAGAAAUGUAACUGAAGUUCAGGCGAUUCGUGAACUUUUAAUAAGAUUGUGUAUUUUGGCCAUGUGUCUCAUUGUCAGUCCUUCUGUGCUGUUCUUGACUCCAUAGCAAGACAGUUCUAAGUUAAUCAGUAUUUUUUCUCAGGUUUCACAAUUAUUUGAAAUCUGCCAGAUGUAAGUAUUACCACUUAUCUCUACGGUCGCUAAAUAUUUUUUCAUGCCCUUUUAAGACUAUCGUAGGUGAAGAAUCUUAUGGUGCAAACCAGGUAUGGAAAGCAAUGAAACACCAGGGGAUUGCAACAUUAACUGUCCGAAGGGUAACAGUUGAUCUAAGUAUAUGACCAGGGGCUUGAUUCUGUGUUGCUCUCAGGCAAUGUCAUAGGCAUGAGGUUGUCGGAAAAUCGGAAGCUACAUUUCGUUCGUGCGUUAGUUAUUCGCUUGGUUUUUGUCUGUUUUGGUAACUUAAUAAAUUGUAAGAUGCAAAGAUCCAGUUGGACACGAAUAUUAAGUACAUUCCAAUGCGUGGGAGGAGGACAAGCUGGGGCCGUGGGCAUGUAGGACCACCCACCGAAAUAAUUGCUCCACAACCUUCACAGCAACCUCCACUGCAGCCUCUACCACAACCUCCACUGCAACCAGCACCUGCAUCGAUUCCUCCGCAGGAGCCAUGAUGUCUGGUUGCAGGAGAAAUAACAAUCAGUUCCGAAGAGGAGCCGCCAUCCGCAGACAAAUUGAGAACUGAUGCAGUAAAUUAUACGGGAUGCAGCUCUUGCGACAAGCCUGAUAACUAGAUGCUUGAAUCAGGCAGCCUAGAACACAUGUCUUGAAAGAAAAUGCCAACUAUUUUCGUUCCUCAAUGAUUACUUUUAGACGGAAUUGACACUGCUCAAAAUUGUUUUACUUCUCUCUUACUGCCUUUUUUAAACAAUAUAUAUUUUUUUUUAAUUUAAUGGUCAUUUUGUUUACUUGCUAAUUAUAAUAUUCAUUUAUUAGUGUUUAAAAACGUUAGUGAGUUGCUUGUGUAACACUGAUUUUUGUUCCUUUUUUUGGAAACUUGAAUGAAUUUCAUGCGCUCAUGUAAACAAGCUCGUUCUUAGACUAACAGUGCAAAUAUGGCAAAUUUCACCUGAGCCUUUCUUUAGCAAGUUCAACCCAUAUUUUGUACUUGUAUCCCCUUGAAAUAUCAUUACGUUAGCAAGUCAACAGGGAAUUUCUGAUUUUUUGUUUUGUUUUCAAGAACUUAAAUAAAUUUUCUUUUUUCUACUACCUUA